UCCGGUUUAUCACCGGCAGUCUCCUUAAAGUCCUCGACUUUACUCGUUAGUAACUAAGGACAAGGGUUGCGCUCGUUACGGGACUUAACCCAACAUCUCACGACACGAGCUGACGACAGCCAUGCAGCACCUGUCUCACGGUUCCCGAAGGCACUCUCACAUCUCUGCAAGAUUCCGUGGAUUCAAAGGUAGGUAAGGUUCUUCGCGUUGCAUCGAAUUAAACCACAUGCUCCACCGCUUGUGCGGGCCCCCGUCAAUUCAUUUGAGUUUUAACCUUGCGGCCGUACUCCCCAGGCGGAGAACUUAACGCGUUUGCUGCGAUACUAAAAGGUCUAAGCCCCCUAACAUCUAGUUCUCAUCGUUUACGGCGUGGACUAC
rnacentral:misc_RNA from 1 species